AUCCUUUUCUGGUUCAUAAUGGCAAUCGGGUUUUCUCUCGCUUGCGUGACUAAGGCCUCCCUCUAAACCUCCUUACCACGUGGGUACAUUACUCAUCUGAUG